UUAACGUUUUGGGACCAGUUACCUAGAGCCCACUCUCUAUUAAGCAGUGUGCAAAAUGGAUCGGCUCCACGGGCAUUUCUUUCCCGUUAUGUUUUCAAGCUCCUGAGUCACAUCUCGCUAUGAGCUUAGUGAGGUGCCCUGAAAUCGUCUGAAAAUUGGGCGUCCUCGUCCCCAUUGUUCUCUGUCUUAAAAUUGUUGCUUUAAAGUCUUUUUUUAAGUGCUGUUGGUUUAAACAGUUCCCUGUGGCAGCAACCCCAAUUCAACUACUGCUCCUCGGAGUUUAUAGCAGAUUUAUAUCUGACCUGUGCUAAACGAGCAAGGUCUUCAAGAGGUGUUCUCAAACAUACGUUAGAGAUCCUCCACUAGUAAAACUAUAAUUCUUGGGGGGUUGGACCUGAUGAUCUCUGGAGGUCCCUUCCAACCCCUACAAUUCUGUGAUUCUGUGAUGAUUUUAUUCAUAUAAACAGAGCCAUAGAUGGCUUCUCUCAGCAGAAGACCUGAUCUCUGUUUAAAAUGGCUUUUCCAACCAAAGCCUAUCUGGGCCGCGAAGAAGCAGCUUUUUCUAGGAAGCAGUGGGAGGCAGGAAGAAUCAUGAAAAGAAGACCUUCGCUGCUGGUGGCAGGACGUGCUCCCUCCUGUGUCAGCGCACCGUCGGCUCCAACACUGUCCUGCAGCUGCCUCUCCUGUCCUGGCAGAGAACUGGUAGGUGCAAGGUGCUGGAAGAAAGCAGGUUUCUUUCUCUGCCCUCCAAGCACGCGGGCUGGGCCUGGCUGUGCAGCAGGACGAGGGCAGCUGCUCACACUUGGUCAUGCUACGCAGCCCUCGGCUCUGGAGCUAGCUGCGAGCUGGGCAUUGAACUCAGCGUGGCGGAAUUUAAGCUGCGCGUUUUCAAAGCCAAUUACUGGAUGCAGCCUGUGUCUGACGAGCUUCAGUUUCAUUAGCUGCCUCCCAGGAGUACUGAGCCACACAGCUCACCUUUGCCGAGUUCAGGUUCUCCUCUGUGAUGUUAUUAGUUGUUCUUAA
rnacentral:lncRNA from 1 species